rnacentral:rRNA from 1 species
GACAGAGGGGGCAAGCGUUGCUCGGAAUUACUGGGCGUAAAGGGCGCGUAGGCGGGAUGGCAAGUCGGUCGUGAAAUCCCUCGGCCCAACCGAAGAACGUCGAUCGAUACUGCUGUUCUAGAGGAUUGCAGAGGAGACUGGAAUUCCCGGUGUAGCGGUGAAAUGUGUAGAGAUCGGGAGGAACACCGGUGGCGAAGGCGGGUCUCUGGGCAAUUCCUGACGCUGAGGCGCGAAAGCGUGGGGAGCAAACGGG